UACGGUCAUAUUGCGUUGAAAACCGUUCCCGUACGACCACCGAAGUUAAGCAACGUCGAGCCUAGUCUGUACCUAGAUGGCUGACCGGUUCGCAAUACCAGGUGCU